GUCAACUCCACUAACUCAAUAAACCGAGAGGACAACUAAUGCUAACUCGCCCAUCUUGCGGUGAAAUGUAAUAAGCAGAGCUACCUAAAAUAGCCAGCACUCCCUAAAUGAUAGGCAAAAACAAGGAUUAGAUACCCUUCUAUUUAUCAUCUAUCAGUUGUUCUAAAAGACCACUACUCACAAAGUAGAAAUUUAACCAUUAUGGCGGUAAACUUUAAAAUCAGGGGAACUUACCACACAAAUGAUAACCACCAAGGUUAAUGAAUUACAAGUAAAUCUUGUAUGCCGUUGUCGUCAGACGUAAUAAAAUAUUAUCUCAAUAGUAACUACUUGAAAAAGACAAAUCUAGGUGCAGACUAUCUUGUAAUGUAGGCGAGUUACAAUUAAAAUUUAUAGCAAAAGAUGCAUCUUAACGUGCCCAGAAGCAGGACUUGAUAGUAAUGAAUAAUAAUUUUACUUCCUGAAUAAACCAAAGCUUGCGCACAA
rnacentral:rRNA from 1 species